ACGGAUCGAGUAGUGACACGCUUGUUCUUAUGGACAGUUCACAUCACAUCGAACACGUUUUUGCGUCAGUCCGCGCUGUUUUUAAAUAGUUUCCUUUGUAAACAUGCGUUAGACGGACGUCUUUGACCGUUCCGCUGCGUCUUGCUGACUCGCACAGUAGCGCCGCGUUUUCAGACAACAUGUCAGACAGGUGUUGUGCAGGCAUGGGACACAAGCCAUGCUCUGCUCUUCUGUCCUGCUAUGAACACAGGCAUGUGGCAGCACCCUCUCACUGCACAGCAUGUGACCACACUUAAAGGCAUUGGCUACAUUGAGAUCAUCUGUAUUACCAAAAAACAUGUCUGUGGAGAUGAAGGUAAAGGUGCCAUGGCAGAUGUUUCAAAUAUUGUCAAUACUGUCAAACAAUAACUCCAAAACCCGCUGAAUAACCUCACUAGGGCCAGCGAUCAGGAGAGACAAGGUUUCAAUCAACAAAAACAGACAAGUUUGAAGUGUUUUUAUUAUGUAGACUGGUUUGAUAUAUUAGUCUUUUACAAUUAUUGUGAUACAAUAAUGACAUUUUUUUCAUGCAUGUUUGUAAUGGUUUUAUUCUU